rfam:Oryza sativa (indica cultivar-group) chromosome 12, whole genome shotgun sequence.
AACAAAGGCAAACCUAGGUUCCGUGCAACGUUUGACUGUCGUCUAUAUAAAAUUUUUUUAUAAUUAGUAUUUUUAUUGUUGUUAGAUGAUAAAACAUUGAUUAAUACUUAUGCGUGAUUUAUCUUUUUAAUUUUUUCAUAAUUUUUUUAUACAAGACGGACGGUCAAACGUUGGACACGAAAACCAGGGUUUGUCUUUUU